AGAGUUUGAUCCUGGCUCAGGACGAACGCUGGCGGCGUGCUUAACACAUGCAAGUCGAACGGAAAGGCCCUUCGGGGUACUCGAGUGGCGAACGGGUGAGUAACACGUGGGUGAUCUGCCCUGCACUCUGGGAUAAGCCUGGGAAACUGGGUCUAAUACCGGAUAGGACCGCAUGCUUCAUGGUGUGUGGUGCAAAGCUUUUGCGGUGUGGGAUGAGCCCGCGGCCUAUCAGCUUGUUGGUGGGGUAAUGGCCUACCAAGGCGACGACGGGUAGCCGGCCUGAGAGGGUGACCGGCCACACUGGGACUGAGAUACGGCCCAGACUCCUACGGGAGGCAGCAGUGGGGAAUAUUGCACAAUGGGCGCAAGCCUGAUGCAGCGACGCCGCGUGAGGGAUGACGGCCUUCGGGUUGUAAACCUCUUUCAGUAGGGACGAAGCGAAAGUGACGGUACCUACAGAAGAAGGACCGGCCAACUACAUGCCAGCAGCCGCGGUAAUACGUAGGGUCCGAGCGUUGUCCGGAAUUACUGGGCGUAAAGAGCUCGUAGGUGGUUUGUCGCGUUGUUCGUGAAAACUCACAGCUUAACUGUGGGCGUGCGGGCGAUACGGGCAGACUAGAGUACUGCAGGGGAGACUGGAAUUCCUGGUGUAGCGGUGGAAUGCGCAGAUAUCAGGAGGAACACCGGUGGCGAAGGCGGGUCUCUGGGCAGUAACUGACGCUGAGGAGCGAAAGCGUGGGUAGCGAACAGGAUUAGAUACCCUGGUAGUCCAA
rnacentral:rRNA from 1 species